GUGGGGAAUAUUGGACAAUGGGCGCAAGCCUGAUCCAGCAAUGCCGCGUGGGUGAAGAAGGCCUUCGGGUUGUAAAGCCCUUUUGUACGGAAAGAAAUCCUGGUGGUUAAUACCCGCCGGGGAUGACGGUACCGUAAGAAUAAGCACCGGCUAACUUCGUGCCAGCAGCCGCGGUAAUACGAAGGGUGCAAGCGUUAAUAGGAAUUACUGGGCGUAAAGCGUGCGUAGGUGGUUUCUUAAGUCUGUCGUGAAAGCCCUGGGCUCAGCCUGGGAAUGGCGAGGGAUACUGGGAGGCUAGAGUGCGGUAGAGGAUGGCGGAAUUCCCGGUGUAGCGGUGAAAUGCGUAGAGAUCGGGAGGAACAUCUGUGGCGAAGGCGGCCAUCUGGACCAGCACUGACACUGAGGCACGAAAGCGUGGGGAGCAAACAGGAUUAGAUACCCGUGUAGUCC
rnacentral:rRNA from 1 species